AAUAAACCAAAAUAAACGCUGACAUUGCACUGUCAAGUCGUUAGAUACACACUUAUAAUAAGAUCAUGAGUAUGCAUUGAAUUUCCAUAACCCGUUCAUUGUAGUUACUGGAGUUUGUUAACCACUACUAUUUAAAAAAAAGUCACACACUGAUGUAUACAGUAUGAUCUUUAGUCGUUAGACUUUACACGGAUUUAUUGAGUUGACAAACAACUGCAGUCCAUUAUAGAUGUGUCCUCAAGUGUUCGUAUAAGCAAGAGGCAAAAGAGAAACCUUUGUGAAAAAAGAGGAUGGACGAGUGUUAAAAGAGACGCGUGACUGAUGAAGGUGGUCAGUAUGCCGCCAUUGUGACUGACAAAGGUCAGCUCGGCUUUGUUCCAGAGAAGCACAUUGACCUUCAGGUGGGAGAAAUACGGUCUAAUCUACUCAUAGGCUCACAAGAUGUGGCAGCGGACAUUAACAUUCCAAAAUCACACAAAGUGACUCACUUUCUCAACCUCGCCUCUGCAGUUCCAAACAUCUUCCCGGAGUCAAUCACCUAUCUACAAUUGGAAAUACUAGACCUCAUUG